rnacentral:rRNA from 1 species
AACGAACGCUGGCGGCAGGCUUAACACAUGCAAGUCGAGCGGGCGUCUUCGGGCGUCAGCGGCGGACGGGUUAGUAACGCGUGGGAACGUGCCCUUUGCUCUGGAAUAGCCCUGGGAAACUGGGGGUAAGACCGGAUGUGCCCUGAGGGGGAAAGAUUUAUCGGCAAGGGAUCGGCCCGCGUCCGAUUAGGUAGUUGGUGGGGUAACGGCCCACCAAGCCGUCGAUCGGUAGCUGGUUUGAGAGGAUGAUCAGCAACACUGGGACUGAGACACGGCCCAGACUCCUACGGGAGGCAGCAGUGGGGAAUUUUCCGCAAUGGGGGCAACCCUGACGGAGCAAGACCGCGUGGGGAGAA